CUCCCUCACUACUGCCUGACUCACCUCACUGGCUCACUCACACUCAGUACCGGUCUACCUGUUGCCUGUGGUGUACAGGUGAGGCCUCGCUCCCUGCCUCGCUCACUCGCUCGCCACCCAGCCUUUACUUCACUCGCUGUCGCUGAUCGUUUAGAAUGAACGGGGGAGUGGUGAAGGCGGCGGUGUGGGCGUGGUGUGCCCUGCUGGUGCCUCUUUCACGCCCACAACACACGCUCAGGCUGUCGACUUCAACCUCGAGGACCUUCUCACGCAGCCCAAUGAACUUCUGACUCGCUCGGGCACCAUCAGUAGGUCCUGCACGACGCCUGAGAAGCAGCCAGAGA